AGGGAAGACAAAAACCGUUCUGACAAAAGACAAAUCGGGUAUUUCCCGUAUUUCCUUUCCAAAAUCUCGCAUCCUCCGCCUUGCAGAGCAGCGCAGCUCCGGGCGGGGCCGUGCCUGGGGAGCGCUCACUAAUGAGAUCAGUGGUUUGUUUCCAUUUAAUGGGCUGCCGGAGGCCGUGCUGUAAAACCCCGGCCCCUUUGUUUCAGCUGUAAAUUGCCAUUUAACUCGACAGCUCCGCUCCUAUUGUUCCCCGUGUAGAGACGGAGCAAGGGAUUUGACAAAGUUUUGUCCCAAAUCACCUCCUUGUUCCCCAGUUCCUGCCUUUAAAAGUUCCCAGUGUGGCUGAGCCUUGUCGUGGUCGUAGCUGGGGAUGCAGGGAGCAGCACCCCCACAUCUGCAGAGACUUACACAGGAAGGACAUUUUUUGGAGUUAUUGUAACAGCCUCGGUUGACUCACUGCACUUUCCCAUUGAAGAAGGUUGAGAAGAAAAGCCUGUGAUUUAUUUAAAAAGGGCUUUUUUCCCCCUCUCUCAGAAGCACAAUGAGCUUUUACUCGGAUGAAAGCCGUGAUUGCAGUUUGGCUCGUGUGCCCUGCAUCCCCCUGUGAGCAGGUCCCAGGCAUCACUUUGUGCAUCGCUGGCAGGCGGCGAGCGGAGCCGCAUCCGUAACCCAGCUGCUGCCACCGGGUGUCACACAGGACCCCCAGAAAGGGCCCACAGUGCCCCCUCCCCGAGGAAAGCUGGCAAGUGUGAACCUCAGCGGUGGGAAAACCUCUCGGGAAGAGGCUGCCCAGCUGGCUGAGUGUUCUCUGGGAACAGAAAAGCAGGUGCCUCCAUCCCACUGACAGAUUUCAGGAGGUGGGUCCUGUCUUUGGGGUGAAAUACAAAGAGACACCACUUCCAGAAAGCUUUCUCAGCCUUUUCCCAGCUGGCAGAACUCUGGGAAGCUCUCUGUGCCUGUGCAGAGAAUAUUUUAAUCUCUGCUGCUGUUAUUAGUAUUAUCACUGCUAAUGGUAAUCGAUAAAUUAAGGGCUAUGGGAUUCCCCACUGAGAUAUUGCUCAGCUGAGCCUUAGCACUUUGCAAACACCCGCUGGGAAAGCCAUUCCUGCUGGAAUCGCUCUGGAGCCGGCUGGGAUUGCCCUGGGGGAGAUAGAGAGUUCUAAAUCACCGUCUUGUAGAGGCUGGUGCUGGUUUAGUGCAAAGCAUAAAGAGCCCACAAAGGCUUUUGUGCUGCGGGUUGGAGUGACACAAUUCCUGCCCAUGCCAAAGGGAUGAGAAAUCAGGGAUGCUGUCUUUAACAAAUCCGGAUUUUUUUUCUUGUGAAAGCCCAAGAUCUUUCAAUUUGGCCCGUAUGUGACAACAUGGUGAGGCUGGCAAAGGUGAAAUAAUCUGAAAUAUUCCAGGUAACAAGGGACAGGAGAAGAGGAAACAGCCUCAGGUUGCUCCAGGGUGGGUUAGAUUGGAUAUUAGGGAAAAAUUCUUCGUGGAAAGGGCUUUCCAGCCCUGGCAUAGGCUGGAGUGGAAGCACCAUUCUUGGAGGUAUUUAAAAGCCAUAGGGAUGUGGCAUUUGAGGACAUGGUUUAGUGGUGAACAUGGUGGUGAGUUAAUUCUUGGACUUAGUGAUUUUCUCUAAAAUCUUUUCCGACCUCAAUGAUUCUAUAAUUUGAUUCUCUGAAAUCAUCACCUGCCCAAGUGCUUCCUGCUUGUCCCACAGCACAGACCAGUGGCUCUCCCUGCAGUUAUCUGGGGAAAAAAAAAAGUGAUGGGAGCCACUGAAAGGGGCUGGGGUGAUGCAAGAUUUAGAGUUUCUUGAGUCAUGGAGAAGUAGCUCCAGCAAAGCCCGACCCUUCCAACACUCAGCACUCAGUCCCACAGCAGAGAGCAGCCAAAAAGCAGAUUUUGGGCUCUCAUUUCUUAAGAUGUGGGGCCAAAACAGCUCACAGGAGCCUCUGCAGUUGUCCAUGCCCCUGCUGUGGCUUCCCAGGAAGCUCUUCACAGUGAGGUCUUACUUCUAGAGCUCACUUAAGUUCUCUGAAGAUUUUUUUAGCUCAUGAAACACAGCAAAGGCUGCUGGCCAAUGCUGGAAUGGAGUUCUUUUGGAUCCUGUUGCCAGCGCUUUUUUUCAGUGGCGAUUUCCUCAUGUUGCAUGUUAAGCAACAGGUUGGAGCUUUUCCCUUUCCAGCUGUUCUAGACAAGAUUUUAUUACUAACCCCAGAUUUACAUCUCGUUGGGACUGUGUGCUUUCCCAAGCUGUAUAUUUCACAAGAAUAAUUGGGAAGGGGGAAGCUCUCCACAGCUUUCCUUCCCAAAGCUUCAUUAAAUGAGCAGCUCUGUUUCCCUUGCCUGCAGCUGCGAAAACGCCGCGCGCUGAGAGGCGGCGAAUUGACCAAAUGCAACGUUUUUUUCAUGUGCAUUCCCUCCCAAAUCUCUGUAACUGCACAUUUGAUCUGCAGAGGAUCCUUUUGUGGUGGCAGCCUCCAGGCUGACCUGCUCGGAGCAAGCCAUAAAAUGAGCCGUGUUCCUCUAAUUUGUCUUGGUAGCGGAGGGAUGCGGCGGCUCGCGAGGCCGGAAUGCUGCCACGCGGAGAGGCCUUGCUGAGCACAUCCCAGUGUGCCUCUGGUAGAGCUCCAGGAUCCAUGCCGAGCAUCAAAUCCAUGAUUAAAUGGCUCCGGGGGACACAAUGCGCUCGUCCCCAUCCAUCACUGAACAAAACCUGGGAGCUGAGCCCGGCGCGGUGCUCCGGCUGCUGGCUUUGUCCCAGUUUUGUCCCUGCUGGUUCCCACAGCCCCUCCACCAAACUGUGAGCUCAGCCUUCCUCCCUCCGGAGCGAGGCAGGAUGGAAGAGGAGGAUGGAGUGCUGCUGGCUGUAAUUAUCAUCACCUUUGUUUUCAUGGAUGACUGAAAAUGAGUUUAAUUUCAGUUUCCGCAGAGGGUGAAGGGAAUCUCUGCUUGCCGUUUGUUGACCACACUCCUGGAUUUCCACUGGGCAAGCCAAAUCUGAAGGAAAAAAACCAUCUUUCCAAGUGAUCUCAUUGUUGUUUCCUUCCCCUGGAGCCAACAAACAGAGUGAAGUGGUCAGCAAGGUACCGCUCCGUCGGAUAUCCCGGAAACGCUGCAGGGAGCCCGCUCAGGAGCUGCAUUUUGCCAUGAACGAGGCUCAAAAGGAGAUUUAGAGGCAGUGGUGACUCUGCAGGGUGGAAAUCAGUGAUGGAGCCUGAGGACAUGAAUGUUCUUCUUUGGAGAAAAAGGAGGGUUUCAGAGGAAUUAGGUCACUGAUCCCACUGCAGCGCUAGUGGCUCCCUCCUCUUGCAAAGGAUGUGGGAAGCACUGGAAUGAACAGGGAGGUGGGUGGGAAGCUCUUGGAGAUGAAUCAGCAGCAUGAAAAUCCUACUUAAAUUAAAUGCUGACAAAAGGAGAUGAAAAGCUUAGAUGGAUUUUCCCUUCCUGACGUCCCCGGCAUUCUCAGCUCACAUUUCUGAGACAGAAAACAUUGCAAGCUGAAAACAGAGUCCAGGAAUGCAAAAUUCCUCCUAAGGAGAAAUUCUGACUGAUUUCUGGGGAAAAUGGUGGGUGACAGAUGAAGGGAAAUGGUCUUAGAGAGAAAGAGCUUCUGUGAGUCUCUUUGGGAGAGGAAAAGCAGGAGAAGUUUUCAUGGCUCGUUCAUUGCAAGGGCCUGGAGUGCCAGGACAAGGGGAAUGGCUUCACACUGACUGAGGGGACAUGUAGAUGGAAUAUUGGGAAGAAGUUUUUUGCUCUGAGGGUGGUGAGGCCCUGGCACAGGUUGCCCAGAGAAGCUGUGGCUCUGCUCACAGCAGGGAGGUGCAACGAGAUCAUCUUUAAAGUGUCUUCCAACCCAAACCAUUCUGGAAUUCUGUGAUUCAUAUCUUCAUAGAAACCCUAACAAUUCUGCAGUGUGAUGCAAUGGAGUUACAGUGAGCAGAAGCAUCCUGGCCAAUUUACUUUCUUAAUCAUCUCCUGUGGAUGCCUUAGGAGGAGCCCAGAGCUCUCCAGGACCACCGGCUGAGAAGCUCUGCCCAACAUGGAGAGGCUUGGAGAUGCUCUUCCCUUGCACAUCCAGCCUUUGAAGAUGCUGCUCUGCCUCAAGUGGCAGCUUCUCCCCAGGCCAACAGGCAGAGACUUGAGAGCGAGCUGGGGAACUGCAAAAUCAGGGGAUGCUGGCUUAAAUCAGUUUUUAAGCAGUGUGUCCUCAGGCGGUGUUGAGAGGAGGCUCCUGCAAUGAGCCAGUGAAGAGAGGGAUUUAUGCUCCAGAGGA